rnacentral:rRNA from 1 species
AUUGAACGCUGGCGGCAGGCCUAACACAUGCAAGUCGACCGAGCGGCGGACGGGUGAGUAAUGUCUGGGAAACUGCCUGAUGGAGGGGGAUAACUACUGGAAACGGUAGCUAAUACCGCAUACCAUCUGGUUUGCCCAGAUGGGAUUAGCUAGUAGGUGGGGGAACGGCUCACCUAGGCGACGAUCCCUAGCUGGUCUGAGAGGAUGACCAGCCACACGUGGACUGAGACACGGUCCAGACUCCUACGGGAGGCAGCAGUGGGGAAGAUUGGACAAUGGGCGCAAGCCUGAUGCAGCAAUGCCGCGUGUAUGAAGAAGGCCUUCGGGUUGUAAAGCACUGUCAGCGGGGAGGCGUUACUCGCAGAAGAAGCACCGGCUAACUCCGUGCCAGCAGCCGCGGUAAUAC